AGCGAACGCUGGCGGCAGGCCUAACACAUGCAAGUCGAACGAACUCUUCGGAGUUAGUGGCGGACGGGUGAGUAACACGUGGGAACGUGCCUUUAGGUUCGGAAUAACUCAGGGAAACUUGUGCUAAUACCGAAUGUGCCCUUUGGGGAAAGAUUAUCGCCUUUAGAGCGGCCCGCGUCUGAUUAGCUAGUUGGUGAGGUAAAGGCUCACCAAGGCUACGAUCAGUAGCUGGUCUGAGAGGAUGACCAGCCACAUUGGGACUGAGACACGGCCCAAACUCCUACGGGAGGCAGCAGUGGGGAAUCUUGCGCAAAUGGGCGGAAAAGCCUGACGCAGCCAUGCCGCGUGGAAUGAUGAAGGUCUUAGGAUUGUAAAAAUCCUUUCUACCGGUGAAG
rnacentral:rRNA from 1 species